rnacentral:rRNA from 1 species
GACAGAGGGUGCUAGCGUUGUUCGGAAUUACUGGGCGUAAAGGGCGCGUAGGCGGCCCGCUAAGUUUGGCGUGAAAGCCCCCGGCUCACCUGGGGAACGGCGCUGGAUACUGGCGGGCUAGAGUACCGGAGAGGAGAGUGGAAUUCCUGGUGUAGCGGUGGAAUGCGCAGAUAUCAGGAGGAACACCGAUGGCGAAGGCAGGUCUCUGGGCCACUACUGACGCUGAGAAGCGAAAGCAUGGGGGAGCGAACAGG